rnacentral:siRNA from 1 species
CAGCUUAACAUUCGUAUCGCCU